rnacentral:rRNA from 1 species
CCUACGGGUGGCAGCAGUGGGGAAUAUUGGUCAAUGGGCGCGAGCCUGAACCAGCGAAGUAGCGUGAAGGAUGACUGCCCUACGAGUUGUAAACUUCUUUUAUAAAGGAGUAAGGUGAGGCACGUGUGCCUUUUUGUAUGUACUUUAUGAAUAAAGAUCGGCUAACUCGGUACCAGCAGCCGCGGUAAUACGGAGGAUGCGGUGGUUAUCCGGAUUUAUUGGGUUAAACGGGAGCGUAGGGGGACUGUUAAGUCAGCGGUAAAAGCCCGGGGCCCAACCCCGGCGAGCCUUUGAAACUGGCUGUCUUGAGAUGUCGAGAGGUAUGCGGAAUGCGCAGUGUAGCGGUGAAAUGCUUAGAUAUUGCGCAGAACUCCGAUUGCGAAGGCAGCAUACUGGCGGCGAUCUGACGCUGAGGAACGAAAGCGUGGGUAGCGAACAGGAUUAGAUACCCGUGUAGUC